GACGAACGCUGGCGGCGUGCCUAAUACAUGCAAGUCGAGCGCAGGAAACUGACGGAACUCUUCGGAGGGAAGGCAGUGGAAUGAGCGGCGGACGGGUGAGUAACACGUAAGGAACCUGCCUCAAGGAUUGGGAUAACUCCGAGAAAUCGGAGCUAAUACCGGAUAGUUCAAUGGACCGCAUGGUCCGUUGAUGAAAGGCGCUCCGGCGUCACCUUGAGAUGGCCUUGCGGUGCAUUAGCUAGUUGGUGGGGUAACGGCUCACCAAGGCGACGAUGCAUGGCCGAGCGGGGAGGGUGAUCGGCCACACGGGGAAUGAGACACGGCCCAGACUCCUACGGGAGGCAGCAGUAGGGAAUCUUCCACCAUGGACGAAAGUCUGAUGGAGCAACGCCGCGUGAGUGAUGAAGGUUUUCGGAUCGUAAAACUCUGUUGUAAGGGAAGAACACGUACGAGAGGAAAUGCUCGUACCUUGACGGUACCUUACGAGAAAGCCACGGCUAACUACGUGCCAGCCGCCGCAGUAA
rnacentral:rRNA from 1 species